ACACGACUACAUUAGAUACCCGCGUAGUCCUAGCCGUAAACGNUACUCGCUAGGUGUCGGCCACGGUGCGACCGUUGUCGGUGCCGUAGGGAAGCCGUGAAGCGAGCCACCUGGGAAGUACGGCCGCAAGGCUGAAACUUAAAGGAAUUGGCGGGGGAGCACCACAACGGGUGGAGCUUGCGGUUUAAUUGGAUUCAACGCCGGAAAUCUUACCGGGACCGACAGCAACAUGAAGGCCAGGCUGAAGACUUUGCCGGAUUAGCUG
rnacentral:rRNA from 1 species